GCCGAGCUCGAUAGCAUGAGCUUGUAACCCGAGCGGGGGCAAUGAGGUGGUGUGGACGUUGCCGUGGCGCUGCGGGCCUGGUCGGGUUGUGCUAUUGCUGGCCCGCCCGGUUCCAAGUUGAGUAGCGGACCGUUGUGGCCUUGCGAAAGCUGGGCUUCACGGGCCAUGAUGUGGCAGGCACUGCGCGAGGCUGGUUUCACAGAGCAGCGAUCACUGCCCGCUUCCAACGGUGGAAGGAUAACGGGCCGCUGCACAUCCUCGCCGCUUCGGCCUCGCAGCCCACUUCAACGAACAACCAUUUUU
rnacentral:SRP_RNA from 1 species